GACGAACGCUGGCGGCGCGCCUAACACAUGCAAGUCGAACGAGCAAAAGAGGAGCUUGCUUCUCUGAGCGAGUGGCGAACGGGUGAGUAACGCGUGAGGAACCUGCCUCAAAGAGGGGGACAAACAGUUGGAAACGACUGCUAAUACCGCAUAAGCCCACGGGUCGGCAUCGACCAGAGGGAAAAGGAGCAAUCCGCUUUGAGAUGGCCUCGCGUCCGAUUAGCUAGUUGGUGAGGUAACGGCCCACCAAGGCGACCGAUCGGUAGCCGGACUGAGAGGUUGAACGGCCACAUUGGGACUGAGUACACGGCCCAGACUCCUACGGGAGGCAGCACGUGGGGAAUACUUGCACAAUGGGGGAAACCCUGAUGCAGCGACGCCGCGUGA
rnacentral:rRNA from 1 species